rnacentral:pre_miRNA from 1 species
AGGGUUAAGAAGUGGAGCUCCUUAAAGUCCAAUAGAGGAUCUUGCAGGGUAGAUUGAGCUGCUGAGCUAUGGAUACCACAGCCCUAUCCCAUAAUAAAAGGGAGUUCUUUUUUUCAAGUCUUCUUGGAUAGGCUUGUGGCUUGCAUAUCUCUGGAGCUUCAUUACCUUAUUAUGUUAGAUCCUUGUUUGGAUUGAAGGGAGCUCUACAUCUAAAUCUU